CAUGUCUUUUUGUGAAUUAUUUAAAGUCUAAUCUGCCCACUGAAUUUUUAAAGGGCCGCAGUAAUCUGACUGUGCAAAGGUAGCAUAAUCAUUUGUCUUUUAAUUGAAGGCUGGUAUGAAUGAUUGGACGAAGUAAAUACUGUCUCACUAUUAAAAUAAUAAAAAUUUAGCUUUUUAGUCAAAAGGCUAAGAUUUCUUUGGAGGACGAGAAGACCCUAUAGAUCUUUAUAAUAAUAAUUGUGUUUUUAUUUUGGAUUUAUAAUUUUUAAUAUUUUUGUUAUUAUUUUGUUGGGGUGACAUGAAAAUUAAUUAAACUUUUCAUAUUUUAUAACAUUGAUUAAUGAUUUUAUGAUCCAUUUUUAUUGAUUAUAAGAAUAAGUUACCUUAGGGAUAACAGCGUUAUUUUAUUGGAGAGUUCAUAUUGAUAAUAAAGUUUGCGACCUC
rnacentral:rRNA from 1 species